rnacentral:snRNA from 1 species
GAGCGGGGUAAAGCCAGAGG